rnacentral:rRNA from 1 species
AUUGAACGCUGGCGGCAUGCUUUACACAUGCAAGUCGAACGGCAGCACGGGUGCUUGCACCUGGUGGCGAGUGGCGGACGGGUGAGUAAUACAUCGGAACGUGUCCAGAAGAGGGGGAUAACGCAUCGAAAGAUGUGCUAAUACCGCAUAUGCUCUGAGGAGGAAAGUGGGGGAUCGAAAGACCUUACGCUUUUGGAGCGGCCGAUGUCUGAUUAGCUAGUUGGUGGGGUAAGGGCCUACCAAGGCGACGAUCAGUAGUUGGUCUGAGAGGACGACCAGCCACACUGGUACUGAGACACGGACCAGACUCCUACGGGAGGCAGCAGUGAGGAAUAUUGCGCAAUGGAGGCAACUCUGACGCAGCCAUGCCGCGUGCGUGAAGAAGGCCCUUGGGUUGUAAAGCACUUUCAAUUGGGAGAAAGGUUGCGUGUUAAUAGCACGUAGCUGUGACGUUACCUUUAGAGAAGCACCGGCUAACUCCG